CCGCACGGUACGGAGCGGCAGGCGCGGCGGGGCGCGGUGACUGUUAGUAGAAAAAUGGAGUGGGAAAUCGUUGAAGCGCUGAACUCCAUAUUACCGUUCGUGAUGACUGAAACUGUGCUGUCUGGCGAACACCACUUUUCCAAGUACAAGAGAAGUCGGUAAUUAGUGACGAGGGAAUAAGUAAGUCAUUACAGGUCUGCGAUGAGGGCACCAACUCCACCGCUGCCACUGCUGCAGGGGUCGACCGGUCACUACCUGCCCGCGCCUGACUGAGCCGGAAGUAACGGUGUUUGCACACAGAGACCGGUGGUCAUCCCCUCACGCCCCGCUCACCUCUAACCCCCGUUUGAUGGACCCCAACUCACCCCACUGAGUUAUGGGGUUGCGACUGGCCUGCGGUCUCUACCACCCGACAUCCCGGCAUCAAAUUGUCGUUUGUCUUCCUCAGAGCUGUCCACUGUCCAUCUGCUGGCACAAGCCAACGUCGUGUAUCGUCCUUCUGCGUAGUGGAACAUAACGAGGAGAGGCGGAGCGGAGACGGGACAUCAUUAAGAAUGUAUCGGCAGUGCUCAGUCGCCUGUGACGUGUUUGAGUUGCCAACUUCCUGCGACGGCGACAGCGACGGCAGGAUAAAUACGGCCUCAGGAUCUCCACUCAACUCUCGCGAGCUUCAAUAGGAAACCGUCAACUACUUCUGUGCAGAUUCUGUCUACCAUCUCAUCUGUGGGUGUGGAUACAAGACGACAAGAUCAUUGCAAAACACUAUGUCAUAGUAAACAUGGUUUAAACAUUAAA
rnacentral:lncRNA from 1 species